CCGUUUAUAAAAAAACAACGUGUCGCAGUAUUUAUAAACAAGUUACAUGUAUGGGAAAGGGGUAUUAAACGAGCAUUUUAUUUUGAAUUGGAUAAACUUAAGCACAAAAUACGCGCAUUGGAGUUAACAUCAAGUACAUAAUUAUGAGACCAACAUUUUCAGAAAUCGUGAGGAAUUUAUAUGGAGCUAUGAUUUGCUAAUUGGAAGAUGAAUUUAUUUGCUGGUUUAUUGAAAGUGUUUCGACAACUGACUUAAACGUCGCCCGACAUUCUACAAAUGAUCGGGAAUGAACGCCCUGAACGUGAUCGAAAACAUUGGACGAUGCGAGCACUCGUCUCACGCUGAAUCUCUGAUCUUGUGAUCACCUGAGGCAUUUUCUGGUUGGAUGUGAUCUUAUCUGAAGUUGUCAUACGGUUACCAAAAUCAAAGGUAGAUGGUUAGACCGAUGAGGCAAGAUGCUAGAGACACAGCAUUAGAAUGCCUUCGGUAUCGUAGUUGUCUCCCUCUACUGCUGCAACGAUAAAGUUCUGCAGUUCAAGGAAAGGCAGAUAGGUUUAUACGUGCAACCGUCCAUUACUGAAUCUCUGAACUUUAGAUCACACGAGACAUUUUCUGGUAGGAUGUUGUUUUAAGUUGCCCGGACGUCAAUGACCAGAGGUACAAGUGCCCAAAAAUGUUUUAUCAAGUGACAGAAACGGAGUGGUAUGCCGAAACAAGUAUAUCGGAAUGCCACAAGCCUGGUAUCUGCUUUGGUCAAAUGGCAGUUGUUUCCCUUGGGCUGCUAUUAAACUAGUGAGCUACAGGUUGAGAAAAGCAGGCAAAUACAAAUUGACGUACCACGCAGAGAUCAGCUCUUCCUGACAGUAUGUGUUCCACGGUUAUCCGGUAUUGACAUGAAUAAAAAGUAUGGCUUUGUAACACAUUUGGGACACAGAAUACUUUUUAAUGUUCAAAAAAAUAAUAAUUACAGUAUAUACCACUGUAUUACAAUAUAAGCAAAAGUUUACAAAAUUGACGGAACUGCUUAUUCUGCUUUUAAUUAUAAACACACAAUACACCUAAUUAUUAGCAUAUCAUUUCAUCUGAAAUCUCAAAUGAUCGGUAGGCGGACAAAAUCCAUUAGCUCCAGUAUUAAUACUUUUGUAAAGACAGCCAAUGUGAUAUGGGUUUUCUUUUAGAUAACUAUUGGUUUAUCCAUUACACAGAUUAACUUUUUAGGGAAUCGAUUGCAGUUUUGUCGUAAAACUUUGUAAUUUCUAUUUGUUUCUGUCAUUCUUUUAAAGACACAGAGUUUCUUCGCAAAAAUUUAAAGAAAUUGGAUUAUCACAGAUCCAUCAGGUUUUAUAUUGACGCUUCUUAACCUGAAUUACCCCCUUAACUAAGACCAGUUCUGCUGUUGAUGUUAAACAACAGUUUGUAUCGAUAUAUCUCACAAUUCUCGUAAUAAAUACAGCAUCGAUAUUGGCUAUUGGUAAUCCAAAUUGCAGUUGCCUCCCUUUGACCAUAAUUUACAUAUUUCAGACACACAAAUUUUGGUUGCAGUUUUAAUUAACAUUUUUGGACUAUUCUCUAGCGUCAGCAAAUAUACCCCCCACCGAAGGGCGAAAGGGAUACAGGAUUGGUGUGUGUGUGUGUGUUAUGUAGUGGGAUGCAAUCUCGGCAGUAGUGUGACUUGAAAAGUCUUUGAGAUAUUGAGUUCAAACUUCAUAAACAGAUUUAUGUCAUUUGAGAGGUGCAAUACAAUUGUCGUACUGACUACAUAUAGGUACAGAACGUGAACAGUGCUGAUAGCUGUGUCCAUCAAUAGGAUAAUGGUUAAUAACUUAGUUUGUAAAACAUAUUUAAAAUGACGGACGGGUAAUUAUGGCGAUAUACAAAAGACAAACCAUUUAAAACAGCAAACUAAGGAUCAGUGAAACCGGCAUCACUGCGGACGUUAAAAAGAUCAUCUCAAGCUUGAUGUAUUGGUUACAAUAAGAAGUGCAAUUUGUCGGGGUAUAUAAUGUAACCUUUUUUCACAUUUACGCUAGGGAUUGGCAAAUCAUUUUAUUUAUGCUUGAUUCCCACGAAUAAUUGCUUAAUGUUUGUUGUCAUUCUCAUUAAAAAAAUAUAAUAAUACAGGGUUGUUGUUGCUUUUAAAUUAAUUGUAGGUAAAAUCGUUAUUUUUCAGAUUGAUACGAGCAGACCCUGAUCUGAAGAUGGUUCGGUGCUGAAGACACACCAUCGGGGUGUGACAAUCCCAGAUAAUGUCAGUCCGGAGUUACAGUUGUCUUUGCGGAUAUAAACAGCUUCAGAUCCAGAACUGGAAACGAGCAGAUGUAUGUGUCCGGACCCAUGCACGCUAUUUAAGAAAAACUAUUUCUGAUCGAAGUUAGUGCGAUUGGUUUCUUUUCGAUAGAUCAAUAUGAGGAGACGUCCCACGCUAAAUACCUGAUUUAGAGGUUACAUGACGCACUUCCAGGUAAAAUAUUGUUCUGGGCUGUCCGGCAUUUACCAGAAGCACCGGUAGAUUGUAAGAUACAUAGUUUGCAUUAUGGCCACGUCUUACCACCAAGAAAUCACAUGUGGAGAUCUUCUGGUCGUUUAAGGGUGACCAGUUCACAAAACAAAGGGAUGCAUUUUCAGAAAUGCCAAUACUUGCGAAUGGUCCACACUGAAACACUGAUCUCGAUGUUACAAAAAGCUUUUGUUGGAAGGAUUUUAUCCUGAUAUGUCCAGCGAUUACUUCAAUCACACUAAUCUUCUUUGGUCACAAGACUGCUUCAAACCACUUCAUCUGUAACAUUACAGAUUUGACAAUUACAAUAUUCUGUAAAUAUUUUACCAUGAUCACAAAUGUGUUCUUGUUAUGACUGAGUUUCGGCGGUAUGAUGAAGAUAUUACAUGACAAUGUGACAGGCCUUUGAUAUGCCAGUUGUCUUCCUUUUAAUAAUAAAAAGGGAAGGAUAAGCAGCUAGCUUACAUCUCUAGAGUUUCUAAAAAUUGAUGUGACAAGGCAACUCCGAAUUUAACAUACUACACUAAUCAUUUGUCACGAGGUUUCUAUGUCGUGGAAGUUAUCCAUCUGAACUUCUCCUAAUCUCGCAUACAAUAGUUUAAUUAUAAAUAGUGAUACUCCUACUAACCAAUUACACACCAUAGUCUGGUAUUUGCAACCUUAAACGAAAUUGGAAAGGAACUCCAUUAUCUUCUUUGAUGUUAACACUUCACAAUCGAACGGAAAAUAGUAUUCCUCUAUGUUAACAGAACUAUUGUAAAUAUUCUUUGAUUAAAAUGUAUAAGGUAUCUUGUUUUAAUAAGUGAAGUGUAUUUAGAGCACUUACAGCCUGUUUGAAUAUCGUUAUUUGUCCUUUAAAACAUAUGUUAUCUGCAUAAAAUGUAUUCACCUCUUUUCAUGCAUGUGUUGAGGGUAAAAAAUGUAUACAGCGAUAAUCCCUUUCUUUCGUUCGGAAAUAUGUCAUUUUGGUUUACUCUUGAGCUAAUAUGCACUGUCUAAACAAAUGUCUUAGUGGCUGUUUUCUUGGUCUUUGUUGCAUUGAUUUAAUGUUAUGUGUGGAUGACAACUAAAACUAAUGAACUCUUCAUGGCUGGAUACACUUUUAGAUGUUAGAGUUUCUCUCUUUGGUAUAAAAUAUAAGUUUGUGCAGCUAGCCUUGCAUCAGGGCUGGUGCCUGUCAUGAGACUAAGGACAAUUGUGGUUAAGUAGGUGCAUAUUGAGUCAAU